rnacentral:lncRNA from 1 species
UUAAUAGGAUCAUAGUUGCGACCCUUAAAAUAAAAUCUAUAUUUAAUAUUUGUUAGUUUAAAAAUUAAAUAACAAGAAAUAAAUAAAAAGAAUUGGAUAUCAUUCAUAAUAAAAUUACCUUUGUUGUAGUCUCAAAUUGUAGUGCACAAAUAUCAGAUCAUUAAGCUUUUGAUGGUCUAACCUAUUUCUCUUUUUAGAAUGAAUAUGUUCAAAGAUGCUCUAAUUUCUCUUGCACCC